AAUCCAUGAACGUAGCAUUCACAACUCCAUCAUACACCAAACACCUCUCCUUCAACUCAUCAAACAGUUCAUUCGCCUUCUCCAAAUUCUCCAAAUUUAGAAAACCGGAAAUCAAAUUAUUAAAAACCAACGAAUCAGCCCCGUGCCCUUUAUUCAACAUUUCACGCAGAAGAUCCACAGCCUCCCCAAUCCUCCCAGAAUCAAUCAAUCCCUUAGUCAAAUGCCGAUAAGUCACUGCCGAAGGACUAAACGGAGCGUUCGCAAUAAUAUGACGAUAAAUCUCAAGA
rnacentral:misc_RNA from 1 species